rnacentral:rRNA from 1 species
GGGCCCGCACAAGCAGCGGAGCGUGUGGUUUAAUUCGAGGCUACACGAAGAACCUUACCUAGGUUUGCAUGGUAACGAACGAGGGUGAAAGCCUGAGGUUCGCAAGACGUUACCACUGGUGCUGCAUGGCUGUCGUCAGCUCGUGUCGUGAGAUGUUAGGUUAAGUCCUGUAACGAGCGCAACCCCCGGAAGUAGUUACACGUUGUCUACUUCAACUGCCUGCGCAAGUGGGAGGAAGGUGGGGAUGACGUCAAGUCAGCAUGGCCUGUAUAUCUAGGGCUACACACACGCUACAAUGGUCGGUACAACAGGUUGCCAAGCCGCAAGGCGGAGCUAAUCCUCUAAAGCCGAUCUCAGUUCAGAUUGUGGGCUGCAACCCGCCCACAUGAAGUCGGAGUUGCUAGUAACCGUGCGUCAGCUAUAGCGCGGUGAAUACGUUCCCGGGCCUUGUACACACCGCCCGUCACGUCAUGGGAGCUGGUCACGCCUGAAGCCGGUGGGCUAACCGCAAGGAGGCAGCCGUCUAGGGUAGGGCCGGUGACUGGGACGAAGUCGUAACAAGGUAGCUGUACCGGAAGGUGCGGCU